rnacentral:lncRNA from 1 species
CCAAGUUCGAAAAAUAGAUAGUUUGAGCUCUGAUACCAAUAUUACACAAAUAUUACUCUUCAAAGAUUCAAAUCAUACAAACCUUUCAGAGAAGUUUACAGCUAGAACUAGAACACAAAAAAUAUCAAGAUAUCUCAAAAUGGGCUCAGAUUAUAUUGUACCAUUUUGUAUCCUAGUAGCCACAAACCCAGAUCCUUUAACGACUCAUUGAAGUUGCUUCUAUGGAUAUCAAAAGACCUCAACCCAGAUCUCGAACAAUCUUCUCACAUGGAUUCACUUAGAAUACUGCGCAAAACUUCCAAUCAAAGGUUGAAGUCGAAGGGGACAAGACGAACAGAAGACAGGAAGAAAAUCCUAGUCUCUCCAAAGAAAAUCACACAGUUGGAUUGAUUAGGGCAAUAAUAGAAGCCCCUAUUUAUACCCCUAACCACCACCACUGAAGUUGCAUUAUGGAACACAAUAUCAGCCGUUUACGUUGGUUCAAGAUUUUGGAGCCAACUCAUGAAAUUAUCAUGCAAUAGUUUACCAAUCCACUGGAAUUCGGAACCCAAGUAAAAGUCAUUGAAGACGCAACUACUACAUGCAAAAGCCAAGGAUAAAAGGUAUAACUUCCCAAAAGAUUAAAUAAAGUUAUAUAAAGAAAGAUUUAUGAUGAAGGUACAUAAAAGGUGAUGUUUCUACACGAUAAAUGUGCAUCUUUCCAAGUGCUCAAAUCCCAUAAGUUCUAAAUUCUUAAAACUUGAAAGCUUAGUAUAAAUUAAUUAAGACCAUUGGAAAAUGUAGAUAUUUCUUCCAAGAAGUGAACCACAAAAGGGUUAAAACUUUG